rnacentral:rRNA from 1 species
GAUGAACGCUGGCGGCGUGCUUAACACAUGCAAGUCGAACGAAGCACCUUGAUUUGAUUCUUCGGAUGAAGAUCUUGGUGACUGAGUGGCGGACGGGUGAGUAACGCGUGGGUAACCUGCCUCAUACAGGGGGAUAACAGUUAGAAAUGACUGCUAAUACCGCAUAAGACCACAGCACCGCAUGGUGCAGGGGUAAAAACUCCGGUGGUAUGAGAUGGACCCGCGUCUGAUUAGGUAGUUGGUGGGGUAACGGCCUACCAAGCCGACGAUCAGUAGCCGACCUGAGAGGGUGACCGGCCACAUUGGGACUGAGACACGGCCCAAACUCCUACGGGAGGCAGCAGUGGGGAAUAUUGUACAAUGGGGGAAACCCUGAUGCAGCGACGCCGCGUGAGCGAUGAAGUAUUUCGGUAUGUAAAGCUCUAUCAGCAGGGAAGAAAAUGACGGUACCUGACGAAGAAGCACCGGCUAAAUACGUG